rnacentral:rRNA from 1 species
ACGGCUUCAAGGUAGCGUAAUAAUUAGUUUAGUAAUUCUAUUCAAGUAUGAAGAUAAAACAGAAAGGUUAUUUCUUUUAUAUUGAUGUGAAUUUUAGUUUUUGUUGAAAAUGACAAAAUUUCCUAAAAAGACGAUAAGACCCUAGAAUCUUUACUGAGUUUUAUUGGGAUAAUAAAUUUAUGGAAUAAAAAUGCGCCAUUCUAGUAUAGACGAACCACAGGAGUGUUUUAAGAAGAAGAUACUCUAGGGAUAACAGCACGAACCUAUCUUAGAGUCCCUAUCGAAGAUAAGGUUGUGACCUCGAUGUUGAAUUAAAGUAACUUAGCCGCAGCUGGCCAAGGGUUUAAGUCUGUUCGACUUGUUAACUUUACAUGAUUUGAGUUAAGAUCGACGUAAGCCAGAUUGGUUUC